AUGCCUAUUGAAAUAUCAUCAAGAAAAAAGGUUUCCUGAUGGCAUCAGAGGGCCAACUUCUAUUAGGAAGUUACUGACCAACCAGUUGCUAACAAAAUUGCUUUUUUCAUUCCUUCUCCUUUUGACUUCAGUGCUGUGUCAGCGUUCCAAAGCCAGGGAAUGGGCACAAUCAUUACUGCCGUCUCUGACACCUGUGCCUAGAGGUCUGAACAAAGGUGAUUCUCUGUAGCCAGGCAGCAGAGGUACAGCACCAUGACUAUCAGGAGGGAGCCAGUGUGAGGCAGAAAAAUCUUCUCAAUAAAAGAUGAUCCGGAGAGGAUCCGGCAUGAAGCUAACAUUUUCUCCAUCACAUUUGCUGUUAUAGGUGGUGUUUGCUUUAUCACUUGGUUUUUGCAGGGAUUCCUUUAUGGGAGGUCGGGAGAAAUCCUAACAAUGAGAUUAAGGCAUAUGGCAUUUAAAGCCAUGCUACGGCAGGUUAGUGUUAAAUUUUUUCCUAUAAAUACACCAUUUUCUCAAUUGCCUUUCCUAUAAUAAAUUGCAAAUAGAUUAAUCCACCCUCUUUUACACAGCGCAAGUUUACUGCACCACCUUUCACAUGGAGUUUUAGGUAUUAAUGAUCUGUAUACUUACUCUAGCCAAAGUAGGAGAAGAAAUAUGUUAAUUCUAACCAUGAUUAACCACUAUUAUAACAAAUUUCCUUGACCACUCUGAAUAGAGAUUUGUUUGACUGGAAAUCAUGUUAGAACCUCAUUAGGAAAGUAUGCUACAUGCUACCAAGCUAAGACCUCAUUUACAGGCUAAAGACAACCUCACCUAAAACGGUCAUUAAAUUUGGUUGAAGUUCAAGCUUGUUCUAACAACUGGGAUAGGGUUUUGAGUGAUUCUGUCCCAUGCAUGCAAUCUGGGCUAUACCAUGUAAGAACAGAGUUGAGUGGCAACCAAGUUUAAUUGAAGUUGUUAAUCAGGUGUGUGUGUGUG